GAUGAACGCUGGCGGCGUGCUUAACACAUGCAAGUCGAACGAUGAUCCCAGCUUGCUGGGGGAUUAGUGGCGAACGGGUGAGUAACACGUGGGUAACCUGCCCUUGACUCUGGGAUAAGCCUGGGAAACUGGGUCUAAUACCGGAUACGACCAUCUGGCGCAUGUCAUGGUGGUGGAAAGCUUUUGUGGUUUUGGAUGGA
rnacentral:rRNA from 1 species